GGGCUGAUCCCCCAGGGAAAGGAUGCUGGGUGGAGGCAGGAACCAGAGAGUCAAACUGGGGACUGGUUGCCCACAGCCAGUUGACAGGAGUCCCAAUAAUUUACCGGCGCCCAGGAGCUUGGAGACCCUGAUGACAAAUAGACCCCGGCUUCAGGACUCACGAUUACUAUAAAUGGAAGGGGUGCGUCAAGUUGUUUUGUCGUCGGCAAAAAAAGAAGGGCAUAAUGGUCUUGGUUAUCAGCUUUUUUUAUUAGGCCGAAAGAGUUGCAAUGAGACACUGGUUAAGCUGUCAGCAUCCAGCCAGAAAUUACUGGCAUCUAUCUGCAAACGUGAAGCUGCUGUCUUCUUCUGCUUUCUGUGAGACACUACUUAAGACUCUGUUUUUUUUAUACCUGCUGCUGGGGAAUAGAAUCACGGUAUUUCCCUCAGAGAUGUGUUCCAAUCAUUCAUUAAAAGCUGCCACAUUACUGGGACGUGACACCACUGGAAGGUUGGCUGACAAGACCAAAUUAUUUUACUGGAAGUCAUUCAAUUCAGCCUCCAAAGAUGCUCUGCCUUGCUCACUCUGAAGGUGCUCGUAAUGGCUGAGACUGUCACUGCUGAGGCCAUAAAUGUACUGGAGGCAUUCAUAUGCUGAGUUUACCAUUUGAAGACCAAUGUUACAACACAGAGCUACAUUGGUGGGUGUUUUCCGAGAAGCAGACGUGGAGAAAAAUUGCCACCAACAAAGGGUGCAUUUACACCUGCUCCCAAGAGGGCAAAUGAUUAAGCAAUGGGAUGGCUUUGGGAUGAUGGCGCACAUCCCAAAGUAUCCUCCCCUACUGGGCAUGGAUGGGUGAUGGAGGCUUGUGUGUGAAAUAUCAUGCGUUCCCAAGUCAAUCCUUCAGCUAAUCAAAUGCUCAUGCAAAGACCAGAUGCUCACCACCCUGCAGACGUUUGGCCAGCAGCCCACGUUUUAUGGAGAUGUGUGAGUGCAGCAUGGAUGAAGAUUAGCGUGACAAUGUAUCUAACGAUGGUGACCUAUGAAGGUAACACUGACUUUGAUGAAUACAUUUUUUUGAUCCUACACCUACAGCUAACUUCCCUAGGAUUAGCAAACAUCAAGCAAUGUAUCCGUGUGUUAAAGUAAUAAUUUUUAAACAUUUUCUCAAAUAUAUGUCUGUUGUCAGUAAGCAUGUAUGUGUGUUC